rnacentral:lncRNA from 1 species
AGAAAGCAAGGCUAGGAGAAACUUCUGCAUUAAGACCUCCAGCGCCUCUGAAAGAAUCUUCUGGUAAGUCUGCCUCUACUAUUCCCUCUGUACAACCCUUAGCUUCUUCUACUCCUCUUUCAACCCCCAUCUACACCUCAUUUGAAACCCCUCCUUCUACAACCAGAACCUCACAACCUCUACCUAAAUUUAAUCUUGCUAAUACCACCUUACCACUAUCCGUAGUUGAAGAAUUAAA